UGAACUCUUGGUCCUGAGCAGAUGGCCCACACACUCGUUCAUCACCAUGUCUUCACCUCGUCUGUGAGCAAACAGAGAAAUGAUCAAGGGCAGGUAUCAUGUGACCUCCGACUGAUAGACACUGACAGGAGAAUGAAGGAGAGUAACACCCAGUCACACAAUCAGCACUUUCAAAAGCGCAUCAGCAAAAGAAACAUUCUUCUGAUGUGUGGUCACUAUGAUAACCCGACCAUCAGUCACAAUAAAAUCUGACUUCAAUUCAGCUGUGUGCUUGUUCCUAACUCUGGUUUGAUGCCAAUUUUGAUAAGGGAUGUUCCAAUAACGUUUUGCUUUUGCUUCAAGUCAAUAUUGACUUAUGUGGCUCUUAACAGAUAUGCGCAUCUUACUACUGUUCAUAAUAGAGACAUACAGUGUGCAAUUCAGUGCAUCAGGAUGGUAAAAGUGAACAAAAUAGACCAGACUAAGCAGCUAUGCUGUAAGAAUAUUUGACUGCCAUGCUGUAAUUAGAUAGAAAAGACUGUUAUGAUCUGAUCCCUGUGUAAACUUCCUGCAUUCACUUCCUGUUUUAUUAUGAAAUUACCAUGAGUUUCUUGCAGUUUUUUUUCCUGUCUUUGUGUAUUUUCACUCCACCUUUUGUUAAAACUUGUGUCUUUCAGCCAUUUAGUUUCACUAUAAUUACAAUCUUAUGUUUGUCACCAUAUGCUAAGAUUCUGUUUUUCUCCCUGUUUGCAAAAGCACCACUCAGCGAGAACCUAGGUUACUGCCCCAGUCUAGUAAGGCGUCUGGGGUCCCAGUGCAAGUCUUGACUUUUCUCUGCAUUAGCCCUGUUCCUCUCAUUGUUUUGUAACAGCCCCACUCAGCCUUGGGCAUUUGCUUUUGGGUCUUUCUCUUGCAUCUGUUGCACUGGUCAUCUCAUCUGGCAGACCCACAUGCAGUUUGUUGUAAAAAACAAGUUUUCCAUCUUGACUGCACUUCACAUAUACACCACCUAAAACUAGGAACAAAGAAAUUAAUCAAGACCUGUUCAGAAAUGUAGUUCUGA